rnacentral:tRNA from 1 species
UCCGGCGUAGCUCAGUUGGUAGAGCAGCGGACUGUUAAUCCGUGGGUCGCUGGUUCGAGCCCAGCCGCCGGAG